UUUUUUUUUUUUUUCUUUUUACAGUGGCACCUGUGGCAUAUGGUAGUUCUCAGGAUAGGAACUGAAUCAGAAUGACAGCCAUGGCAACACCACAUCUGAGCUGCAUCUGUGACCUAUGCCACACCUUACAGCAAUUCUGGAUCCUUAACCCUCUAAGCCAUGCCAGGGGUUGAACCCACAUCCUCAAAGAGAUAAUGUUUCAUCCUUAACCUCCUAGGUCACAAAAAGAACUCCUUUUUUCGUUUGUUCAGGUUUUUGUUGCAGUAUUUGAUUUAUAACCUUGUGAUAAUCUCUACUGCACAACAAAGUGAUUCCAUUUUACCUACACCCUCAUCCAUUCUUUUUUAGAUUCUUUUCCCAUAUACGUAAUCACAGAAUAUUGAGGAGAGGUCCCUGUGCUUCCCAGCAGGUCCCCAUUGACCAUCCAUCCGUUCCUUAUAUAAUAGUGUGUAUAUACUAAUCCCAAUAAACUUUUGUUACCAAAGGGGAAAGGUCAGGGUAAGGGAAGGAUUGGGGUUUGGACCCAUAGUUUUAAAAAGGAAUGCAACAAAUUUAAUUGUAUACACAUAUGUUUCUUAAAACAUACUUGUCUAUACAUAAACAUCUAAAUAUAGUGCAUUCUUUUAUGAAAUAGCAAAUGGUUAAAUAAAUUAAAUCAUUAAGAAAUCUUUAACUUAGAGAACUUGAUACCCUUCAUAACUGCAGUGAAAAUUAAAGGACAUAGAAAGGGUCAGGGUGCUCUGUGCCUUGCAUUAUUAGCUAUAAAACCAAAUUUUGCAUUUUUAUAGGGUUGCAUCUAUAUAGCUAUAUCAAAAAAAAUAUAUUAUCAGAAUAUUUCUUCUCAAGAUGCAAUCUAGGACUUGAAUCCAGGGAUCCAAAUGCCCAUGAUCUUUUCACUGUGAGACAUUCCAAAAGGUAGAAAUAUAAAAAUAAUGAUAACCUAUACUCUAUUACAAAACUCAGACCACAAACUUAUAGGAUCAAUGAAAAUAUACAAGUAGUACCAAGUAUUUAUCAGGAGUAUAGAUUAGGGUCUGAAUUCAAACAAAUAAAUAGCCAGUGCUUCAGUAAAUGUAUAAACGUAUUUCUACUUGAUGUUGUUUUAAUGCUUCAGUAAAUGUAUAAACAUAUUUCUACUUUAUGUUGUUUUACACUAUUACCCAAUAUUCAGUAAAACAUUAUUUUUGAGUGGUGGACAUGUAAAUGAAAAAUACAGUCUGCCCUAUCAGUAAACAAAGGAUGUUGCAACUGUCAAUCUACCACAUUUAUAGCCACCCUAACAGUGAGCCCUGGAUGGAAACAGGAUGCCAGCCAAAUCAUCAGACAACAGAAGUACCCCUCCCCUCCCCUCUCCUGGACAGGGCCCCUUGAGGAGACAAAGGAUUAAAAAGCACAGGAUACUGGCCCCAGAGAGCUGAAGUGCAUGGGAAAGGAAUGAUUUCAGUGAGCCCAGACUCUUGCAUCUUCCAAUCAUAGAAAAAGCACUAAAUUCCUUAACUUGAGAUAUCUGGUUUUAAUUAACAGCAAAACUCCUGUAUAUCCUGGCUCCCCCACUUGUCACUUUGGAGCAGUCUCUCAGAGUUAUCUGAGAUACUAUGUCCUGGGCUUAAGUGCUCAGUUUUGUCUACUGAAUAAAACAACAUAACUCUCAGUUUUUAUGUUGUACAUUUUUUUUUUCAGUUGAUGGAGACUACCAAAUUGUAUAUAUAUAUCAAUAUAUAAUAGGAGUAUUAGUUUAAAAAAUAAUUUAAAAAAUGAACAUGUGUAUAUGUACUUAUAUCACUAUUUUGCUAUGUUAGUCAAAAGCCAUAUUCAAUACCACAGUAUUAAACUAUCACAUUUAGAAUGGAUGGGCAACAGAGUCCUGCUGUAAAGCACAGGAACUCUGUCCAAUCUCUUGGGGAUAGAACAUGAUGAGGGAUGAUGUGAGAAGGGGAGUGUGUAUUUAUGUGUGGCUAGGUCACUUUGCUGUACAGCAGAAAUUGGUACAAUCCCAUAAAUCAAUUACACUUUAAUUUAAAAAAGGAUUCUCUAAAAAAUAUCAUGACAUUAACCUCUUUGUGCCUGUAGUCCAAUUUAUAACCCCAGAUUAUUCAUCAGAAGUAAUCAAGCUAGAAUGAUAACAGCAUCUUCUGGGUCCCUAUGUGAUCUUAAUUACUUCCUUGAGCCUUCCAGUCUUUGGAUUUGAACUGCUUUGAACCAUUAGUAUAACCCUCCUUAAUUAAUGGGAUUCUUUGAAGCCAGUAGCGUCUACACCUAAGUUUUAGAUUGCAAUUUUUAGUCUCAUGUUUCCUUCUUCUGCAUUAUUCUUUACUUGAGCAAUCUGCAGUGUCACCUGAUGCACCAGAAUAAUCACACUAGGAUAUUAUGAGCCCAUGUUAUAUAAUCUUAUAUCAGAUGUGAAGCUCUACUGAUUUUAUACAUAUUUAUGGGGAAAAGAAAAUAAAGCAAUAAAUAUUUAUUUAAUAGGUCUGAAAAAAAUCUUAUCCCACAUAUUUAACUUGAAUAGAAUCAUGCCAUAGAUUUAACUUAUAGGCCAUUAAGAGACAUUAAAGGGAUAGAGGAACAAGUGAAAUGACACCAAGAAGAAAUAAUCAUAUGAACUUAGAAGAUAAAAGAUAACUAAUACGAUCUCAAGAGUAAAGAGAAAAAGAAAAAAGGAAGACUUUUCCAGAUUAAUAAAGUCACUACAUAACUAAACGCAAUGUAUAAUUUAUUAGAUCCUAGUUCAAACAAACCAAGAGUAAAAUAGAUUGUGAACAUAGCUAGAGGGAACUGAACAUGGAUAGGGCAUUAGAUGAUGUUGAAAUUUUAUUGCUAAUUUUUGUUCAGGGAUAAUCUUAUUACAAUUACAAAGGAAAAUAUCUUUAUUGUUGAGAGAUUCAUAUGGAAAUAUUUAGGAUUAAAAUAGUUUGAUAUAUGUAGUUUACCUCAAAAUAGUCUAGGAAAGCAAUUAGUAAAGCAAAUAUGAUGAAAUAUCAAAAAUUGCUAGCAGGUGAUAGGGUUGUUUAUAUUUCCAUUAUCCUACAAAUUAGAAUAUUUUCAUAAUUAAAUAGGAGAAAUUGAGAAAAAUCCUAAUGUGGAGUACCUGCCUUGGCUCAGCGGGUUAAAAACCUGACUCAUAUCCAUGAGAAGGCAGGUUUGACCACUGGCCUCACUCAGUGGUUUAAGGAUCCCGCAUUGCUGAAAGCUACAGCAUAGGUAGUAGGUCUAGCUUGUAUCUUGCUAUGGCUGUAGCAUAGGCAGCUGCAGCUCUGAUUUGACCCCUAGCCUGGGAACUUGCAUAUGCUGCAGAUGUGGCCCUAAAAAGAAAAAAAGAAAUGAAAAAUCCCAAUGCCAAAUACUAACAGGAAAUGAGAAGUUGUGACAUACAAAAGUUCCUAUUAUCAGCAGUAGUUCUGUCUGGGAAUGGAGGAUAUGCAUUUGAUAGACAUAUCACCUUUAUUUAUUUAUUUAUUUAUUUGUCUUUUUGCCUUUUCUAAGCCGCUUCCUGCGGCAUAUGGAGGUUCCCAGGCUAGGAGUCCAAUCGGAGCUGUAGCCGCCGGCCUGCACCAGAGCCACAAAACGUGGGAUCCAAGCCACGUCUGCAACCGACCCCACAGCUCAGGGCAACGCCGGAUUCUUAACCCACUGAGCAAGGCCAGGGAUCGAACCCACAACCUCAUGGUU
rnacentral:lncRNA from 1 species